UACGAAGGGGGCUAGCGUUGCUCGGAAUCACUGGGCGUAAAGGGUGCGUAGGCGGGUCUCUAAGUCAGGGGUGAAAUCCUGGAGCUCAACUCCAGAACUGCCUUUGAUACUGGAGAGCUUGAGUCCGGGAGAGGUGAGUGGAACUCCGAGUGUAGAGGUGAAAUUCGUAGAUAUUCGGAAGAACACCAGUGGCGAAGGCGGCUCACUGGCCCGGUACUGACGCUGAUGUGCGAAAGCGUGGGGAGCAACAGG
rnacentral:rRNA from 1 species